GAUGAACGCUAGCGGCAGGCCUAACACAUGCAAGUCGAGGGGUAACGGGGAGUGCUUGCACUCCGCCGACGACCGGCGCACGGGUGCGCACCGCGUAUGGAACCUGCCUCUUGCAGGGGAAUAGCCCAGGGAAACUUGGAUUAAUGCCCCGUAGUACCUUUAUAUAGCAUUAUAUUAAGGUUAUAGCCUUCGGGCGGCAAGAGAUGGCCAUGCGUCCCAUUAGCUAGAUGGUAAGGUAACGGCUUACCAUGGCUACGAUGGGUAGGGGCCCUGAGAGGGGGAUCCCCCACACUGGUACUGAGACACGGACCAGACUCCUACGGGAGGCAGCAGUGGGGAAUAUUGCGCAAUGGGCGAAAGCCUGACGCAGCGACGCCGCGUGGAGGAUGAAGGUUUUCGGAUCGUAAACUCCUGUCAGGUGGGAAGAAAAGUCUUUCUUUAAUAUGGAAUAGAUUAUGACGGUACCACCAGAGGAAGCACCGCUAACU
rnacentral:rRNA from 1 species